AAUGAACGCUGGCGGCAUGCCUAACACAUGCAAGUCGAACGAAUGCUUCGGCCUUAGUGUCGCACGGGUUCGUAACGCGUGGUAAUCUGCCCCUUGGUUCGGAAUAACAGUUAGAAAUGACUGCUAAUACCGGAUGAUGACGUAAGUCCAAAGAUUUAUCGCCGAGGGAUGAGCCCGCGUAGGAUUAGCUUGUUGGUGUGGUAAGAGCGCACCAAGGCGACGAUCCUUAGCUGGUCUGAGAGGAUGAUCAGCCACACUGGGACUGAGACACGGCCGAGACUACUACGGGAGGCAGCAGUGGGGAAUAUUGGAAAAUGGGCGAAAGCCUGAUCAAGCAAGGACGCGUGAGUGAUGAAGGCAUUAGGGUUGUAAAGCUCUUUUACACGGGAUGAUAAUGACAGUACCGGGAGAAUAAGCUCCGGCUAACUACGUG
rnacentral:rRNA from 1 species